UGGGGAAUAUUGGACAAUGGGGGCAACCCUGAUCCAGCAAUGCCGCGUGAAUGAUGAAGGCCUUAGGGUUGUAAAGUUCUUUUAUUGAUGACGAUACUGACGGUAAUCAAUGAAUAAGCACCGGCUAACUUCGUGCCAGCAGCCGCGGUAAUACGAAGGUCACAAGCGUUGUUCGGAAUCACUGGGCGUAAAGGGUGCGUAGGCGGUUUGGUAAGUCAGAUGUGAAAAUCAGGGGCUCAACCCCUGACC
rnacentral:rRNA from 1 species